GAUAUACUCCCUCCAUCCGGAAAUACUUGUCCUAAAGAUGAAUGUAUCUAGACUUAUUUUAGCUAUAGAUACAUCCAUUAUAUCCAUUUCUAGGACAAGUAUUUCCAGACGGAGGGAGUAUUUU
rnacentral:pre_miRNA from 1 species